rnacentral:rRNA from 1 species
CUGGCGGCGUGCUUAACACAUGCAAGUCGCACGAGAACGCUUCAGCUUGCUGAAGUUAGUAAAGUGGCGCACGGGUGAGUAACGCGUGGGUAAUCUUCCCUCGAAUUGGGGAUAACAUUGCGAAAGCGAUGCUAAUACCGGAUAAUAUCUUAAGUACUCAGGUACCUAAGAUCAAAGGUGGCCUCUACAUGUAAGCUACUGUUUGGGGAUGAGCCCGCGUACCAUCAGCUUGUUGGUAGGGUAACGGCCUACCAAGGCAGCGAUGGUUAGCUGGUCUGAGAGGAUAAUCAGCCACACUGGAACUGACACACGGUCCAGACUCCUACGGGAGGCAGCAGUGAGGAAUUUUGCGCAAUGGGGGAAACCCUGACGCAGCAACGCCGCGUGAGUGAUGAAGGCUUUCGGGUCGUAAAGCUCUGUCAAGUGGGAAGAAACCACAAGGUGUUAAUACCACCAUGUGCUGACGGUACCACUGAAGGAAGCACCGGCUAACUCCGUGCCAGCAGCCGCGGUAAUACGGGGGGUGCAAGCGUUAUUCGGAAUUACUGGGCGUAAAGAGCGCGUAGGCGGUCUUUUAAGUCAGGUGUGAAAGCCCGGGGCUCAACCCCCGGAAGUGCACUUGAAACUAAGAGACUUGAGUAUGGGAGA